rnacentral:rRNA from 1 species
ACGUAGGGGGCAAGCGUUGUCCGGAAUUAUUGGGCGUAAAGAGCGUGUAGGCGGUCCGGUAAGUCAGCUGUGAAAGUCAAGGGCUCAACCCUUGAAUGCCGGUUGAUACUGUCGGGCUAGAGUCCGGAAGAGGCGAGUGGAAUUCCCGGUGUAGCGGUGAAAUGCGCAGAUAUCGGGAGGAACACCAAUGGCGAAGGCAGCCCCCUGGGAUAAUAUUGACGCUCAUGCACGAAAGCGUGGGGAGCAAACAGGA